rnacentral:tRNA from 1 species
GCCUGGGUGGCUCAGUCGGUUAAGCAACUGACUUUGGCUCACGUCAUGAUCUCUGUGUGUGGGUUUAAGCCCCACAUCAGGCU